rnacentral:rRNA from 1 species
AUUGAACGCUGGCGGCAUGCCUUACACAUGCAAGUCGAACGGUAACAGGUCUUCGGAUGCUGACGAGUGGCGAACGGGUGAGUAAUACAUCGGAACGUGCCUAGUAGUGGGGGAUAACUACUCGAAAGAGUGGCUAAUACCGCAUGAGAUCUACGGAUGAAAGCAGGGGAUCGCAAGACCUUGUGCUACUAGAGCGGCCGAUGGCAGAUUAGGUAGUUGGUGGGAUAAAAGCUUACCAAGCCGACGAACUGUAGCUGGUCUGAGAGGACGAUCAGCCACACUGGGACUGAGACACGGCCCAGACGCCUACGGGAGGAAGCAGUGGGGAACUUUGGACAAUGGGCGCAAGCCUGAUCCAGCAAUGCAGCGUGCAGGAUGAAGGCCUUCGGGUUGUAAACUGCUUUUGUACGGAACGAAAAGCCCCGGGUUAAUACCCUGGGGUCAUGACGGUACCGUAAGAAUAAGCACCGGCUAACUACGUGCCAGCAGCCGCCGUAA